UAGCUUGGCAACAUCUCAAGUGACAGUAAUACGAAAUUUAAAAAGAAAAUUAAGUAAUCGGUGUACAUACAUAUAAAAAAAAAUAAUACCGACCGAAUUGAGAACCUCCUCCUUUUUGAAGUCGGUUAAUUAAAAACUACUUUUUAUCACUUUACUCGGUUUAAUAACAUCACAUUAACGUUAGUUUCUCCAUUUUUAGUUUUUGAAAUAUUAUUUUUAUGUCUGUUCUAAUAAUUUUUAUUCUUAGUUUCUUUUCCUUUUGUGUUAUUUGUGUUUUUACUUGGUUUUGUUUUUCUUUAAUUUGUUAAAUUAAUAAUAGUUAAAAUAAGCAUGUUAUCACUACCUAUAAGUAGAUUUACAAUUAUACCUCUAUUAAUUUAGUUCUUGUUAAUAUAUGUAUUUGUAUUUAAUUGUAAUCUGUUGGUGUCCAAAUAAAAAAAAACUUCGUUCGUAACACUCCCGAUGUGUCGCGCGGGCCGGAGGGCGUGUAGCGAUGAAUGAAAAACUCACGGCUGAUGCACGUCACUUCCCCGCACGCACCAUUUCACACCCACGCAGUCUGCCCCUGUCUCCCGCAUAUCAUGGGAGUGUUAUCAACGAACUUGCCCGACUAUAGUUGUUUGAACGCCUUACUGACGGAGGUAUAGUAAGAGAUCCGGCAUAACAAUUAUAUACCCUCAUCUGUUAUUUAUCUGGGAUAAGAAAUAAAUGAUAGAUAAUAUUGUCAUUGACACAUUGCACAUAGGUUGCCUACACACAACUGUUAAAUUGCGGCUGGUUAUUAUAAAAUGAUUUUUUCACUACUCUUGCUCAAAAACACUGUCAUAUUACCACUCCACAGCGGGGCUAAACAAGAAUAUUAGCCUCUAGGGGCUAAAGUAAUUUUGUUUUUUUAAUUCUUGUCUGUUACGAGUACUAGCCAAGUACUAGCCUACUAUAAAACGGAGGAGGUUUUAUUCGAAAGUAGAAUCAUUAUAGGUAAGGCGCCGAUUGUUUUGAAAAAUAAAUAAAAACUUUAAAUUGGAAUGAAAUGCACCGUUCUUGUCUGUGGAAUGCGUUUAUUUUUUUAUUUAAUUUUAUUGAGUUGCGAAUAGAGCGAGAUUUGAAGACAUGGGACAUCCUUUACGGUGUAAUACCUUUGCCUUUUCCUCAUGUCAAAAAAAUAAAAUUAAAAAGCGAGAAUUUAAAAAACAAUUGGCGUGAAUAACUUCUUCACUUGAUUUUUUUCAGAAAUUCAUUGUAAAUUUGUGACCGUAACUUACAUAUUUUUCAACAAUAACUGCUAUUGUGUUCUUCAUCUAGUGAGAAUGGUAAUCUUAAUUUGGAGAUGGAUGAAAUUUUCAAUCUGUUACCAUCAAAGUCGAGACGCAUUUACUUAAAUACUUACUUACGAUACCUACGAAUACCUACGAAAAAUUUAAUAAGUGGAGAAAACAACAACGAAUGGAUUUACUUACGAAAGGAGU